AAGUGGUGUAGUGGAGGGAGGGCUCAGGGGAGCUGAGCCCCCUUGUUGAAAUUUCAUGUUGACUUGGGGGGCUGCACGUUGGUCAAAUUUAGCAAAAUUUCUCCCACUCGUGCGGGUUCGUAUUGACAGCGGACAUCUUACAGAAAGUGGCCAGUUCUUUGAAAAAUGCAAAAGUUUCAAUUUUACACCGCAAGUCCACUGACAAUAUGAGCCUGCGAUCCUGGGAGAUAAUUUGCUGAAUGUGACCAGCGUGCUGAGUCCCCCUAUAUUUUGGCACGUUGCAUAAUUGAUAAUCUUAACAACGUGCGAAAACACACACAAAAAAUACCAGUAAACGAGAAUGUUCUUUAGAAUUGCAUCUCAUUUUCACUCAUCAUUUAACACAAUGAUUUUUGUAAUCUUUAUAUCGCCAUUUUUGUAAUCUUUAUAUCAUUUAGUACCACUAAAUUGUAAAUUUCGACAUACUAAAACGCUGUUUUCUGACCAUCAGAAUUCUGUCAAAUCUUCCCCAAAGUCCAGGAAAUGGCAUUUCAGAGACUCUAAAUUUAAAAAUUUCCUCGGGCCUUCGGUCCUCGCUUCGGCUUGUUUUUAAUAAGAAUAAUGUCAAAUGUUUGUCCCAGAAUUACUAGAAUAAACCCCAACAAAAUUUAGAAUUUCUAAAAUAUCUUAUUGUACCUCCCCUCCUCUCCCGCCAAUUCAGGGCACUUUGGAGAGCCCCCCUUGUUAACAUUCCAGGACUACACCACUAAUAGGCCUAUAAAUUUCACUUAAAGGGCCCUACAGUAAUUUUUUAGUCGAAAGCCACCUUAAGUAGGGGACUCCACGGAGAUUCGUUUGGCUGUAUCUUACAUGCAGUAUCCAUGAGUAUGAGUACUUUCGCACACAGAAAACGCAUGCAUACUGUGGUGCGCAUGUCAAGUAGCGACAAUAAC
rnacentral:lncRNA from 1 species